GGCCGGUGAUGCACAAGAAUUGUCCGUACCAUCUGAGAUCUCUUUCCUUGAUGUGAGAUUCAUCUCUAGCUUUCUGAGGCCU
rnacentral:snoRNA from 11 species